UAGGGGCCCUUUUACAAAUGUAAGAAUUUUUUUUUUUUAGGAUUUUUAUUUAGAUUUUGUUUAUCUAUUGGAAAAGUUUUUAGGAAUUUUGGGGCCCUUAUGACAGGUUUUUUUUUGGAAUGGGGGACUUGUAUCUAGUUGCCACGGCACUGUAUAUAAGUAACUAAAGGAAUGUUAUCAAUUUAUUAUAUGAAUCAUAAACAUGUGCUUAUCUAUUACAAAUACCUUUGAUGGUGAAAAUUACAUUUUUUGUCUGAAGAGAGUUAGGAGAAAUUUUCAUAUUGAAACGAGAUAUUGUGUAAAGAGGUUUUCAAAGAAGUCGUUUCAACAACAACGGAAAAGCUUCCGAUUCGCAAGAUAACCGUGAAAGCAUUCGAUACAUGAUUAAAGAAUCGUUUAAUAUUUUGCUUAGUUUGGACAGUGUAGUUUUAAUUACUAUUUUUUUGAAAUAAAUCAAUCAAUUUAUAUA